UACGUGGGGUGCAAGCGUUAAUCGGAAUUACUGGGCGUAAAGCGUGCGCAGGCGGUUUUGUAAGUCUGUCGUGAAAGCCCCGGGCUCAACCUGGGAAUUGCGAUGGAGACUGCAAGGCUUGAAUCUGGCAGAGGGGGGUAGAAUUCCACGUGUAGCAGUGAAAUGCGUAGAGAUGUGGAGGAACACCGAUGGCGAAGGCAGCCCCCUGGGUCAAGAUUGACGCUCAUGCACGAAAGCGUGGGGAGCAAACAGG
rnacentral:rRNA from 1 species